rnacentral:lncRNA from 1 species
GGGCGUGGCUUGAGGAAGGGCGUUUGUGAUUGGUGGGUUCUGCCGCGGCCGGGAAGUUCGAACAGAAGUCUGGGGAAGAGCCGGCGAAGAGCAAAGAGAUAAUACAGUACUCCCAGCUAUAGCAAGCGGCAGUUAUGGAGCAUGCGCAGCAGCAGGGGCGGCCGCAGGUCGCCGUUCAAUAAUACUCAAGGGAUUUGUACAGCCCUGUAGGAGACACCUCCAGAGAAAGUAACAGCUCUCAAUUGAUUAGCUGAGGAGACCGAUUUUGUAAAUCACUACUUUUCUAACAACACUGGCACAGAUGGCCAAGCAUUCUCCCUUUUCUCAGAGCUGGUUUUCCAUCCCGGAAAGAGGUCUUACAUAUACAAAGUUACUCUAAUCAGUUGUUUUAAAGAGGUGCCCUUUCCUCUUCUACUGUAUAAAUUACCAAGACCCAUCUUUCUCCUCAUCUGCAACAGCCAUCUUGCCAAGAGAGCCUCUGCUGCCCAAGGAGCUCUCCCAGGAGGUUCUGUCAUAUUACCAGAGGGUCUGAUGCUACUAGAAGAUAAACAGCCCCUUCUCACACUGCCAAAAUUGGGAGAGAUGUGCUUCCAAAAUGAAAAUUGGAAUUUAUUUAUUCUUAGAAACAAUGUUAAAAGAUAGGUACUUAGUACAUCAUGUAUUAAAUGGCUUCUUUAUGGUCUACUCUAGGAAAAUAAGACUGUUUAUGGCACUUUUAUUACAAGUUCUAAACAAACUUCUCUUUGGAAAAAUCUUGCAAAUUAACUUGGGGGCUUCCUAUAUGUACUGGUUACCAAGGAGUGGGGAACAGUUCACCUCAGCAAGAAGGAAUAUUUUAUUGCUGACAUUGUUUAGAAUUGAUAUCACAUGAUGAUUAUCAUUGAAAAGCAGAUCUAUUUUUAGUCUGUUUUACUAUUGUUUUUAAAUUUUCUCCCACAUAAGGCAUCUUUGGUUGCCUGCUCCCAAGAGCUGAUGAUUUUACUCUCCCCACGGCCCCACUACUUUGUACACCACUGCUUAUAUGUGCAUUAGAAGCUGGGAAGUGGAAAUUAGAGUUCUGUUGUAAAAAAAUAAAAUAGGCCGGGCGUGGUGGCUCACACCUGUAAUCCCAGCAC